CAGAGGGUGCAAGCGUUGUUCGGAAUUACUGGGCGUAAAGCGCGCGCAGGCGGAUCCUGUAAGUCGGAAGUGAAAUUUCGGAGCUCAACUCCGAAGCUGCUUCUGAUACUGCGGAUCUGGAGAUCGGUAGAGGUCGGUAGAAUUACAGGUGUAGCGGUGGAAUGCGUAGAUAUCUGUAAGAAUACCCGUGGCGAAGGCGGCCGACUGGGCCGGAUCUGACGCUGAGGCGCGAAAGCGUGGGGAGCAAACAGGAUUAGAUACCCUGGUAGUCCACGCCGUAAACGAUGGGCACUAGGUGCCGGGGGGAGCGACCCCUUCGGUGCCGCAGCUAACGCGAUAAGUGCCCCGCCUGGGGAGUACGGCCGCAAGGCUG
rnacentral:rRNA from 1 species